rnacentral:rRNA from 1 species
GUGGGGAAUAUUGGACAAUGGGCGAAAGCCUGAUCCAGCAAUGCCGCGUGAGUGAAGAAGGCCUUCGGGUUGUAAAGCUCUUUUACCCGGGAAGAUAAUGACUGUACCGGGAGAAUAAGCCCCGGCUAACUCCGUGCCAGCAGCCGCGGUAAUACGGAGGGGGCUAGCGUUGUUCGGAAUUACUGGGCGUAAAGCGCACGUAGGCGGUCUUUUAAGUCAGAGGUGAAAGCCCGGGGCUCAACUCCGGAAUUGCCUUUGAAACUGGAAGACUUGAACACGGGAGAGGUGAGUGGAAUUCCGAGUGUAGAGGUGAAAUUCGUAGAUAUUCGGAGGAACACCAGUGGCGAAGGCGGCUCACUGGACCGUUGUUGACGCUGAGGUGCGAAAGCGUGGGGAGCAAACAGGAUUAGAUACCCGGGUAGUCC